UCUGGCACGUUCACUACGCAGCAGAGCAGACGUGGCGAUGUCUAAACAGGAACUGUAUGAAAAGACCAAACUGCAGUAGAAUUCUUUUCCCUCCAAAGACAUGCUCAGGAAGACCCCAGAUUUUCAGCUUUCCAUUUCAAUACAAAAGAUGCAACCCGAAGCAUGUGGUGUGCUGGGGGAGAGGGGCUAUAAUUUCUCUUUCCCUCCUGUCCAGAUUCAGCCAAACAUUGUUUCAGCCCCAUUUACAGACAUUCUCCACUGCCCUGACUCCUUUCCAGACCUGCUGGGAAUGCUGGGCUGUGGAAAUUCAUGGACAUUGACCUCUUAACAAAUAAGCUUCAUGCAAUCUGUGCCUAAAAUCAGAGCUAAAAAUUCAGCGUGGCUGUCUCUUGGGACCCAGCAGAAGAGGGGGCAAAGAUCCUGAUCCAAACUGCCCCCAAAUGGCAGCAAUUCCACAGCAAUCUCCUGAUCCUCCAGCCUCAUUUACAGCAAAGCUGGACCUGGACACAUUUACUGGAGAUCUCUCAGGUUCCUUAUGGUGGCACAGAACCAAGAACAGGCAGCCCCCUGAGCUGCUCCCAAAAGUCUGGAGAAUUGGCCUGCCAUAGGGGAAUAAAUAAGAAAAUCUCUCCCAGGAAGGCUCAAAUCAAGAGCCACAAGCAGAGGGGGUCAGCAGUGCCCUGGCCCCACGGUGACUCGUUGAAAUGAAGAUCUGGGCGGGAUGUUGGGGGAAAUGCUAAUGGCUGGGAGCAGCUCAUGUCAAGCUGAAUAAAUCCCCUGCUCUCCCUUCUGAAGCACAAUGGCACAUGAAUGACUAAGCAAUUCUGAUAACAAUUCAAUAGACAAAUGUCAGCUUGCUUUGAUUAAACAUUACUUGUGGAGCUGUUUCAGGGCAGUUAAAGACACAUCAGUCUGUCUGUCUCAC